UACGGGGGGGGCAAGCGUUGUUCGGAAUUACUGGGCGUAAAGGGUUUGUAGGUGGCUUGUUAAGUCAGACGUGAAAUCCCUCGGCUUAACCGGGGAACUGCGUCUGAUACUGGAUGGCUUGAGUUCGGGAGAGGGAUGCGGAAUUCCAGGUGUAGCGGUGAAAUGCGUAGAUAUCUGGAGGAACACCGGUGGCGAAGGCGGCAUCCUGGACCGAUACUGACGCUGAGGAGCGAAAGCCAGGGGAGCAAACGGG
rnacentral:rRNA from 1 species